rnacentral:rRNA from 1 species
AUUGAACGCUGGCGGCAGGCCUAACACAUGCAAGUCGAGCGGAUGAAGGGAGCUUGCUCCUGGAUUCAGCGGCGGACGGGUGAGUAAUGCCUAGGAAUCUGCCUGGUAGUGGGGGAUAACGUCCGGAAACGGGCGCUAAUACCGCAUACGUCCUGAGGGAGCAAGUGGGGGAUCUUCGGACCUCACGCUCUCAGAUGAGCCUAGGUCGGAUUAGCUAGUUGGUGGGGUAAAGGCCUACCAAGGCGACGAUCGGUAACUGGUCUGAGAGGCUGAUCAGUCACACUGGAACUGGGACGCGGUCCAUGCUCCUACGGGACGCAGCAGUGUCGAAUGUUGGACAGUGGGCGAAAGCCUGAUCCAGCCAGGCCGCGUGUGUGACGAAGGUCUUCGGAUUGUAAAGCACUUUAAGUUGGGAGGAAGGGCAGUAAGUUAAUACCUUGCUGUUUUGACGUUACCAACAGAAUAAGCACCGGCUAACUUCGUG